rnacentral:miRNA from 1 species
UGAUAUGUUUGAUAUUUUUGGUGG